rnacentral:rRNA from 1 species
GAUGAACGCUGGCGGCGUGCCUAAUACAUGCAAGUCGAGCGAACGGACGAGAAGCUUGCUUCUCUGAUGUUAGCGGCGGACGGGUGAGUAACACGUGGAUAACCUACCUAUAAGACUGGGAUAACUUCGGGAAACCGGAGCUAAUACCGGAUAAUAUUUUGAACCGCAUGGUUCAAAAGUGAAAGACGGUCUUGCUGUCACUUAUAGAUGGAUCCGCGCUGCAUUAGCUAGUUGGUAAGGUAACGGCUUACCAAGGCAACGAUGCAUAGCCGACCUGAGAGGGUGAUCGGCCACACUGGAACUGAGACACGGUCCAGACUCCUACGGGAGGCAGCAGUAGGGAAUCUUCCGCAAUGGGCGAAAGCCUGACGGAGCAACGCCGCGUGAGUGAUGAAGGUCUUCGGAUCGUAAAACUCUGUUAUUAGGGAAGAACAUAUGUGUAAGUAACUGUGCACAUCUUGACGGUACCUAAUCAGAAAGCCACGGCUAACUACGUGCCAGCAGCCGCGGUAAUACGUAGGUGGCAAGCGUUAUCCGGAAUUAUUGGGCGUAAAGCGCGCGUAGGCGGUUUUUUAAGUCUGAUGUGAAAGCCCACGGCUCAACCGUGGAGGGUCAUUGGAAACUGGAAAACUUGAGUGCAGAAGAGGAAAGUGGAAUUCCAUGUGUAGCGGUGAAAUGCGCAGAGAUAUGGAGGAACACCAGUGGCGAAGGCGACUUUCUGGUCUGUAACUGACGCUGAUGUGCGAAAGCGUGGGGAUCAAACAGGAUUAGAUACCCUGGUAGUCCACGCCGUAAACGAUGAGUGCUAAGUGUUAGGGGGUUUCCGCCCCUUAGUGCUGCAGCUAACGCAUUAAGCACUCCGCCUGGGGAGUACGACCGCAAGGUUGAAACUCAAAGGAAUUGACGGGGACCCGCACAAGCGGUGGAGCAUGUGGUUUAAUUCGAAGCAACGCGAAGAACCUUACCAAAUCUUGACAUCCUUUGACAACUCUAGAGAUAGAGCUUUCCCCUUCGGGGGACAAAGUGACAGGUGGUGCAUGGUUGUCGUCAGCUCGUGUCGUGAGAUGUUGGGUUAAGUCCCGCAACGAGCGCAACCCUUAAGCUUAGUUGCCAUCAUUAAGUUGGGCACUCUAAGUUGACUGCCGGUGACAAACCGGAGGAAGGUGGGAUGACGUCAAAUCAUCAUGCCCCUUAUGAUUUGGGCUACACACGUGCUACAAUGGACAAUACAAAGGGCAGCGAAACCGUGAGGUCAAGCAAAUCCCAUAAAGUUGUUCUCAGUUCGGAUUGUAGUCUGCAACUCGACUACAUGAAGCUGGAAUCGCUAGUAAUCAUAGAUCAGCAUGCUACGGUGAAUACGUUCCCGGGUCU